rnacentral:rRNA from 1 species
UACAGAGGUCUCAAGCGUUUGUUCGGAUUACAUUGGGCGUAAAGGGUGCGUAGGCGGCGCGGUAAGUCGGGUGUGAAAUCUUGGAGCUUAACUCCGAAACUGCAUUCGAUACUGCCGUGCUUGAGGACUGGAGAGGAGACUGGAAUUUACGGUGUAGCGGUGAAAUGCGUAGAUAUCGAUAAGGAAGACCAGUGGCGAAGGCGGGU